GCGGUCUUGUUCCCGGGGCUCUCGCCUCUCCGUGUUCACAGCGGACCUUGAUUUAAUGUCAUACAAUUAAGGCACGCGGUGAAUGCCAAGAGCGGAGCCGGAAGGCGGCGCGGAGCAG
rnacentral:pre_miRNA from 14 species